rnacentral:rRNA from 1 species
GACGAGCAUGCACUGGCGACGGACGACGAGGAGACAAAUUGCCCAGGGAAGAACUUCCCCAGGAAAGAAGCAAGGCGAGUAGACGCAGCAUGGAUGGAGGCAUACACCAAAGGGAACAUUGAAUUCCAGAGGAUGUGUAAUGAGAUUCUAGCGAGUGGAGAUGAGAAUGCCCUUCUCCCCGCUUGUCCUCUCAAAGUGUUCCCUGAGGCGUCAGGGCUGUGCAUCAGGAGGGAUCACUGCCACCACCGUGAAUACAAAACCCAUGUUACUUCCAGUACUAAAUCAACGCUUGGAUACCGUGAUCCGGGAAAGAUGAUACAGAUCUUUGGACUGAAGGUAACUUGUUCUGAGCCCUAUCCGGUCAGUGUCUAUGGAGUAGUUGCUGUCCGGGAUGACUUGGAGCCACUACGAAAUCCUGUCUUUAACCGUCCCUGCAGAGACGACGCUCUCGUGAUUCACCAGGAUUCCCUUGCAUUGCCUCUUUGUAGCCCUUGCCGUGGAAUGUACAUAUGGGAUAAGGCAUUACUAGAAGUUGAUCUUUGGGAAAAGUGCGAAGGAGAUGGAUCAUCCGACAAGCGAUUACUUCUUGCGCAUGCUGAGAUUGAGGGGCAGUAUGACUUAGAUUUGAUGAUAGAUGGGCAGAUAACAGGCGACCGUUGCAGCCUGGUCAUGGACUACCUGUUGCUUGCAGGGAGUGUGGAGGUUGUCAUACAGGUCUUUGCAAAGGUUGAGCACCCUCAUCAUCUGCGAUUCGCCGCAUUCAUCAGUGGCUUUGCUCAUGAGAUUGUGCUGUUUGAUGGCAAAUUCUCUGGUGACGAGAAGCUGCUCCAGCAUGUCGUCGCAGUGAAGGCCAAGGGAAAACUGGAUGUUUGCUUGGAACUGGAGGAAUCGCUGUUUUGGUGGACUUUUGAGCAAGGAGCUGUUGGAGCUGUUAGGUCUCCUGACAAUUCGGUCUUGAAGUAUGGCCAGUUCGAUGUGAGGGUGCUUUUUGCUCCCAAGGACUUCACUGUGGUUGGCUGA